rnacentral:lncRNA from 1 species
CCGCGAUUCCGGCUCUGUAAAACGACCAUGACUUCAGCUCGCCCGGCUCGUACAGUGGCGCCGGCGGUGGCUCUUUGUAGUCCUUGUCCGUCUGCGCCGAUGUGCCAAUUGGCUGCCUUUCUGAGAACUUGUUUGCUCCUAGCUUCACGUCCUCUUCUUUCCCCUCCAUUUUCUUAUUCUUCUUCUUUGCUGAGUUUUGCUUAGAAAAUGUAACAAGGGAGGUUCUCUUCUCUCACUCUAGAAUGAGAUUUCUCUCUCCUGUUAAUGGGGUUUUGUUUUCC